rnacentral:rRNA from 1 species
CCUACGGGGGGCAGCAGUGAGGAAUAUUGGUCAAUGGACGCAAGUCUGAACCAGCCAUGCCGCGUGCAGGAAGACGGCUCUAUGAGUUGUAAACUGCGUUUGUACGAGGGUAAACGCAGAUACGCGUAUCUGUCUGAAAGUAUCGUACGAAUAAGGAUCGGCUAACUCCGUGCCAGCAGCCGCGGUAAGACGGAGGAUUCAAGCGUUAUCCGGCUUUAUUGGGUUUAAAGGGUGCGUAGGCGGUCGGAUAAGUUAGAGGGGAAAUCCCGAGGCUCAACUUCGGAAUUGCCUCUGUUACUGUUCGGCUAGAGCGUAGUUGCGGUAGGCGGAAUGUAUGGUGUAGCGGUGAAAUGCUUAGCGAUCAUACAGAACACCGAUUGCGAAGGCAGCUUACCAAGCUACUUCUGACGUUGAGGCACGAACGCGUGGGGAGCAAACAGGAUUAGAUACCCCAGUAGUC